rnacentral:rRNA from 1 species
UACAGAGGGUGCGAGCGUUGUUCGGAAUUAUUGGGCGUAAAGCGCAUGUAGGCGGCUUGUUAAGUCGCGUGUGAAAGCUCCAGGCUCAACCUGGAAAGUGCGCGCGAAACUGGCGAGCUUGAGUGCCGGAGAGGGUGGCGGAAUUCCCGGUGUAGAGGUGAAAUUCGUAGAUAUCGGGAGGAACACCAGAGGCGAAGGCGGCCACCUGGACGGACACUGACGCUGAGAAGCGAAAGCGUGGGGAGCAAACAGG